AGUAGGGCUACCCCUGGCUUUACUGAAUUAACUAGCUGUGUCUGCUGUCUAGUUGGACCAGAUUUAGCUAGAUAAUGGGGUAGAGAAUAGUUGAGCGGUGCUGUGUGUAGCUUGAACUGUACUGGCUGGCAAGAAUCUAGUAAGCACCCUAUGCACUGAUAACUCGUCAGAAUGGAGGGUAUGUUCUAGGGAUCUGGACAGCUGUACAUCCAAAGGAGCCAGGGAGUGCCAAUCAUCUUCUCCCAGUCUCUGACACGCUAAACAAAAGGAGCUAGAACUGGGAGUCCCAGCUAGAAUUGCUAGCCGGAUCUAGACUAAUAGAAUGACUUGGAGGCGUGGUGAGGCCGGAUCCACACUAAUUGAUCGACCUAAAGACGCUCCUGUUCCAGAUUUCACGAAUGGCAAGGAAAGGGUUAUUUUUCAAAACUUUUGAAUCCAAAUGGAGCUGAUUGGACUCCUUGACACUGUCAGCGAGCUUGAGCACACUGUCAGAGAGCUUGAGGAGGACCAGGAAGUCUGUUAUGACCAUGACGAGCCCAGUGAUGACGAUUUUGAGACAGAUCUGGAGAGUGAUUCAGAUGCUGCAGUGGAGGAUGAUGACGAAAUGGUCGAUGGCAUGGCUCCGACUCCCAAACGGAGGAAGCUGGCGAGGGACAAUGGACUCCAAAAAGCUAAGUCCACAGGAAGAUACCCCGUCUUUGGCGGUGAGGUCGGUCCUGUCGAUCAACUUGAUCCGUCUGUAACUCCAUGCCUAGAUUUUGUUAAGUUACUUUGGCCCGAUAGUUUGUGUGAGUACAUAGCCGAACAGACCAACCUGUACGCUAGGCAGUGUGGUGCUAAGGGUUGGUCAGCUACAAACAGUGCCGAAUUGUGGGUGUUUUUGGGGAUUGUACUAGAGAUGGGCAUUCAUAGGCUCCCUGAAAUUACGGACUACUGGUCCAAGGAUCCCCUUUUAGGUGUACAAUGUGUGAGCAAUGUAAUGUCGCUCAAAAGGUUCCAAAGUUUAUGGCGGUAUCUGCACUGUGAGGACAAUACGUCCAUCACUGAUGCACGUAAGGUAACUAGCAAGCUAAAAACUGUUUUAGAGACUCUUAAAGCCAACUACUUCAUGAGGUAUAAUCCCAGUCAGGAGCUUUCCGUUGAUGAGAUGAUGAUAAAGUACAAGGGUCGUAAAAGCGGGAAAAUUCAUAUGCCCAAGAAGCCUGUUAAACUGGGGUUCAAGGUAUGGUGCUGCUCAUGUUCAUGCUGUGGGUAUCUCUGUGUGUUUGAUGUAUACAGUGGUAAGCUCACCGAUUCCUCUGGGAAAAAGAUAGCUGUGAAAGGGCUUGUGAAAAAUGUAGUCCAUCGUUUACUCACUCCUUUUUAUGGUCAUCAGCAUGUUGUGUACAUGGACAACUUUUACACGUCCGGUCCAUUGAUAGAAGAGUUGGCUAAGCAAAAUGUGUUUACUGUCGGCACAAUUUUGAAGAAUGCUGCUGGUUUCCCAGCAAGUCUUAAGGAUGUGGUACUCGACAAAGGUGACUAUACGUCCAUGACUGUUGGUGAUAUUUCUUACUCUAUGUUUAACGACCGUAGAGUUGUGUCCUUUGCAACAAAUGUGUUCCCUGACCAUAUGCCCCACACUGUAAUGCGAAUGCACAAAGACGGUACCCUACGCUCUCAGAGUGUCCCCCCCUGUCUCCCUGCAUAUAACAUGUACAUGGGAGGAGUUGACAAUACAGGGCGUAUGAGGAAAACCUAUGGGUACGAUAGAAAGUGUCGGCGGUAUUGGUUCAGGAUUUUCUUUCAAUUCCUUGACGUUAGUGUGAAUAAUGCAUACAUUCUAUACAGGCACAACUGUGUCAGGGUGGGUUCAAAGGCCAUGCCUUUGAAAGGGUUUCGAUUGGAACUAAUUCAUAGUCUAUUGGGUGUGCCACGUACUCGUAGCAGUGCCUCAGGUCUGGCCAGUCUAAAUAUCGUUUUCCCCCCAUCACAGGGCGCACGUGUGAGUGCAAAUAGUGUCGGAGUGUCUCGUGGGCGCUGUCAAGUGUGUGUUCGGGAGAAGAUCCCUAGCAGAGAGCAGCAACACACUGCAAUGGCAUGUCCCCACUGUCGCAUAAGAAUAUGCAAAGGACACUCUGUUAUCGGACACACAUGUGCUAGCUAAUGUGCUGUGUGACUGAUUUUUGUUAGAUGGUACUCUCCUGGUCUAAAUUGGCCUUGGAGAGGGGAGGAAAGGGGUAUUAUUUCAAUGAUUAAUAAAAUUGUGAUAAAGAAUUCAGUUGUAUAUGAGAGGCCCUAACCCACUCUGUUGUAAAUUCUGUUGUAAUUAUUUUUCAAAACUUUUGAAUCCAAAUGGAGCUGAUUGGACUCCUUGACACUGUCAGCGAGCUUGAGCACACUGUCAGAGAGCUUGAGGAGGACCAGGAAGUCUGUUAUGACCAUGACGAGCCCAGUGAUGACGAUUUUGAGACAGAUCUGGAGAGUGAUUCAGAUGCUGCAGUGGAGGAUGAUGACGAAAUGGUCGAUGGCAUGGCUCCGACUCCCAAACGGAGGAAGCUGGCGAGGGACAAUGGACUCCAAAAAGCUAAGUCCACAGGAAGAUACCCCGUCUUUGGCGGUGUGGUCGGUCCUGUCGAUCAACUUGAUCCGUCUGUAACUCCAUGCCUAGAUUUUGUUAAGUUACUUUGGCCCGAUAGUUUGUGUGAGUACAUAGCCGAACAGACCAACCUGUACGCUAGGCAGUGUGGUGCUAAGGGUUGGUCAGCUACAAACAGUGCCGAAUUGUGGGUGUUUUUGGGGAUUGUACUAGAGAUGGGCAUUCAUAGGCUCCCUGAAAUUACGGACUACUGGUCCAAGGAUCCCCUUUUAGGUGUACAAUGUGUGAGCAAUGUAAUGUCGCUCAAAAGGUUCCAAAGUUUAUGGCGGUAUCUGCACUGUGAGGACAAUACGUCCAUCACUGAUGCACGUAAGGUAACUAGCAAGCUAAAAACUGUUUUAGAGACUCUUAAAGCCAACUACUUCAUGAGGUAUAAUCCCAGUCAGGAGCUUUCCGUUGAUGAGAUGAUGAUAAAGUACAAGGGUCGUAAAAGCGGGAAAAUUCAUAUGCCCAAGAAGCCUGUUAAACUGGGGUUCAAGGUAUGGUGCUGCUCAUGUUCAUGCUGUGGGUAUCUCUGUGUGUUUGAUGUAUACAGUGGUAAGCUCACCGAUUCCUCUGGGAAAAAGAUAGCUGUGAAAGGGCUUGUGAAAAAUGUAGUCCAUCGUUUACUCACUCCUUUUUAUGGUCAUCAGCAUGUUGUGUACAUGGACAACUUUUACACGUCCGGUCCAUUGAUAGAAGAGUUGGCUAAGCAAAAUGUGUUUACUGUCGGCACAAUUUUGAAGAAUGCUGCUGGUUUCCCAGCAAGUCUUAAGGAUGUGGUACUCGACAAAGGUGACUAUACGUCCAUGACUGUUGGUGAUAUUUCUUACUCUAUGUUUAACGACCGUAGAGUUGUGUCCUUUGCAACAAAUGUGUUCCCUGACCAUAUGCCCCACACUGUAAUGCGAAUGCACAAAGACGGUACCCUACGCUCUCAGAGUGUCCCCCCCUGUCUCCCUGCAUAUAACAUGUACAUGGGAGGAGUUGACAAUACAGGGCGUAUGAGGAAAACCUAUGGGUACGAUAGAAAGUGUCGGCGGUAUUGGUUCAGGAUUUUCUUUCAAUUCCUUGACGUUAGUGUGAAUAAUGCAUACAUUCUAUACAGGCACAACUGUGUCAGGGUGGGUUCAAAGGCCAUGCCUUUGAAAGGGUUUCGAUUGGAACUAAUUCAUAGUCUAUUGGGUGUGCCACGUACUCGUAGCAGUGCCUCAGGUCUGGCCAGUCUAAAUAUCGUUUUCCCCCCAUCACAGGGCGCACGUGUGAGUGCAAAUAGUGUCGGAGUGUCUCGUGGGCGCUGUCAAGUGUGUGUUCGGGAGAAGAUCCCUAGCAGAGAGCAGCAACACACUGCAAUGGCAUGUCCCCACUGUCGCAUAAGAAUAUGCAAAGGACACUCUGUUAUCGGACACACAUGUGCUAGCUAAUGUGCUGUGUGACUGAUUUUUGUUAGAUGGUACUCUCCUGGUCUAAAUUGGCCUUGGAGAGGGGAGGAAAGGGGUAUUAUUUCAAUGAUUAAUAAAAUUGUGAUAAAGAAUUCAGUUGUAUAUGAGAGGCCCUAACCCACUCUGUUGUAAAUUCUGUUGUAAUUAUCUCUUUCCUUGGCAAUCUGUUGUAGAAAUUACAACAAUGGGUAAGGAAUCGUUAUGAUGAAUUAGAUGAAGUUGUAUGUGAGCUCCUCCCUGACAAACAAACUGUAGUCUAGGUAACCGCCUUAUCAGUCAAGUAGGCUAAAAAUCUGUGUCCUUUGAUGUAAGCUUUGAUGUCUCUUUGUGCAUAUGUAGUUAUAAAAAAAAAAAAAAAAAAAAAAAGAAACCUUUGACUAGCUAGGAAGAGUAGCAGCAGUAGGCAGCAGUAGUAGUAGCAGUGCAAGCAGGACUAGACUAGAUUAAAAAGUUGGUGGAAAGAAUAACUGACCGUUUGGACGUCACCUGGCUGCCAGACUUUCAUCUGGACUCUUCCCCCUGAGUAGCUGGCCUUUCUCUAAGCCACAAAACUGAGCAAGAAGCUGAAGAAGCAGCUAGACAGAGACAUGUACCUAGCCUUGAGAAUUGGGAGGCGUGGCUCAACUAGUUAGCCCAGCCCAGAGGAAUUGUUACCGUGGGUACUGAACAACCGUAGAAGUAGGGCUACCCCUGGCUUUACUGAAUUAACUAGCUGUGUCUGCUGUCUAGUUGGACCAGAUUUAGCUAGAUAAUGGGGUAGAGAAUAGUUGAGCGGUGCUGUGUGUAGCUUGAACUGUACUGGCUGGCAAGAAUCUAGUAAGCACCCUAUGCACUGAUAACUCGUCAGAAUGGAGGGUAUGUUCUAGGGAUCUGGACAGCUGUACAUCCAAAGGAGCCAGGGAGUGCCAAUCAUCUUCUCCCAGUCUCUGACACGCUAAACAAAAGGAGCUAGAACUGGGAGUCCCAGCUAGAAUUGCUAGCCGGAUCUAGACUAAUAGAAUGACUUGGAGGCGUGGUGAGGCCGGAUCCACACUAAUUGAUCGACCUAAAGACGCUCCUGUUCCAGAUUUCACGAAUGGCAAGGAAAGGGUUAUUUUUCAAAACUUUUGAAUCCAAAUGGAGCUGAUUGGACUCCUUGACACUGUCAGCGAGCUUGAGCACACUGUCAGAGAGCUUGAGGAGGACCAGGAAGUCUGUUAUGACCAUGACGAGCCCAGUGAUGACGAUUUUGAGACAGAUCUGGAGAGUGAUUCAGAUGCUGCAGUGGAGGAUGAUGACGAAAUGGUCGAUGGCAUGGCUCCGACUCCCAAACGGAGGAAGCUGGCGAGGGACAAUGGACUCCAAAAAGCUAAGUCCACAGGAAGAUACCCCGUCUUUGGCGGUGAGGUCGGUCCUGUCGAUCAACUUGAUCCGUCUGUAACUCCAUGCCUAGAUUUUGUUAAGUUACUUUGGCCCGAUAGUUUGUGUGAGUACAUAGCCGAACAGACCAACCUGUACGCUAGGCAGUGUGGUGCUAAGGGUUGGUCAGCUACAAACAGUGCCGAAUUGUGGGUGUUUUUGGGGAUUGUACUAGAGAUGGGCAUUCAUAGGCUCCCUGAAAUUACGGACUACUGGUCCAAGGAUCCCCUUUUAGGUGUACAAUGUGUGAGCAAUGUAAUGUCGCUCAAAAGGUUCCAAAGUUUAUGGCGGUAUCUGCACUGUGAGGACAAUACGUCCAUCACUGAUGCACGUAAGGUAACUAGCAAGCUAAAAACUGUUUUAGAGACUCUUAAAGCCAACUACUUCAUGAGGUAUAAUCCCAGUCAGGAGCUUUCCGUUGAUGAGAUGAUGAUAAAGUACAAGGGUCGUAAAAGCGGGAAAAUUCAUAUGCCCAAGAAGCCUGUUAAACUGGGGUUCAAGGUAUGGUGCUGCUCAUGUUCAUGCUGUGGGUAUCUCUGUGUGUUUGAUGUAUACAGUGGUAAGCUCACCGAUUCCUCUGGGAAAAAGAUAGCUGUGAAAGGGCUUGUGAAAAAUGUAGUCCAUCGUUUACUCACUCCUUUUUAUGGUCAUCAGCAUGUUGUGUACAUGGACAACUUUUACACGUCCGGUCCAUUGAUAGAAGAGUUGGCUAAGCAAAAUGUGUUUACUGUCGGCACAAUUUUGAAGAAUGCUGCUGGUUUCCCAGCAAGUCUUAAGGAUGUGGUACUCGACAAAGGUGACUAUACGUCCAUGACUGUUGGUGAUAUUUCUUACUCUAUGUUUAACGACCGUAGAGUUGUGUCCUUUGCAACAAAUGUGUUCCCUGACCAUAUGCCCCACACUGUAAUGCGAAUGCACAAAGACGGUACCCUACGCUCUCAGAGUGUCCCCCCCUGUCUCCCUGCAUAUAACAUGUACAUGGGAGGAGUUGACAAUACAGGGCGUAUGAGGAAAACCUAUGGGUACGAUAGAAAGUGUCGGCGGUAUUGGUUCAGGAUUUUCUUUCAAUUCCUUGACGUUAGUGUGAAUAAUGCAUACAUUCUAUACAGGCACAACUGUGUCAGGGUGGGUUCAAAGGCCAUGCCUUUGAAAGGGUUUCGAUUGGAACUAAUUCAUAGUCUAUUGGGUGUGCCACGUACUCGUAGCAGUGCCUCAGGUCUGGCCAGUCUAAAUAUCGUUUUCCCCCCAUCACAGGGCGCACGUGUGAGUGCAAAUAGUGUCGGAGUGUCUCGUGGGCGCUGUCAAGUGUGUGUUCGGGAGAAGAUCCCUAGCAGAGAGCAGCAACACACUGCAAUGGCAUGUCCCCACUGUCGCAUAAGAAUAUGCAAAGGACACUCUGUUAUCGGACACACAUGUGCUAGCUAAUGUGCUGUGUGACUGAUUUUUGUUAGAUGGUACUCUCCUGGUCUAAAUUGGCCUUGGAGAGGGGAGGAAAGGGGUAUUAUUUCAAUGAUUAAUAAAAUUGUGAUAAAGAAUUCAGUUGUAUAUGAGAGGCCCUAACCCACUCUGUUGUAAAUUCUGUUGUAAUUAUUUUUCAAAACUUUUGAAUCCAAAUGGAGCUGAUUGGACUCCUUGACACUGUCAGCGAGCUUGAGCACACUGUCAGAGAGCUUGAGGAGGACCAGGAAGUCUGUUAUGACCAUGACGAGCCCAGUGAUGACGAUUUUGAGACAGAUCUGGAGAGUGAUUCAGAUGCUGCAGUGGAGGAUGAUGACGAAAUGGUCGAUGGCAUGGCUCCGACUCCCAAACGGAGGAAGCUGGCGAGGGACAAUGGACUCCAAAAAGCUAAGUCCACAGGAAGAUACCCCGUCUUUGGCGGUGUGGUCGGUCCUGUCGAUCAACUUGAUCCGUCUGUAACUCCAUGCCUAGAUUUUGUUAAGUUACUUUGGCCCGAUAGUUUGUGUGAGUACAUAGCCGAACAGACCAACCUGUACGCUAGGCAGUGUGGUGCUAAGGGUUGGUCAGCUACAAACAGUGCCGAAUUGUGGGUGUUUUUGGGGAUUGUACUAGAGAUGGGCAUUCAUAGGCUCCCUGAAAUUACGGACUACUGGUCCAAGGAUCCCCUUUUAGGUGUACAAUGUGUGAGCAAUGUAAUGUCGCUCAAAAGGUUCCAAAGUUUAUGGCGGUAUCUGCACUGUGAGGACAAUACGUCCAUCACUGAUGCACGUAAGGUAACUAGCAAGCUAAAAACUGUUUUAGAGACUCUUAAAGCCAACUACUUCAUGAGGUAUAAUCCCAGUCAGGAGCUUUCCGUUGAUGAGAUGAUGAUAAAGUACAAGGGUCGUAAAAGCGGGAAAAUUCAUAUGCCCAAGAAGCCUGUUAAACUGGGGUUCAAGGUAUGGUGCUGCUCAUGUUCAUGCUGUGGGUAUCUCUGUGUGUUUGAUGUAUACAGUGGUAAGCUCACCGAUUCCUCUGGGAAAAAGAUAGCUGUGAAAGGGCUUGUGAAAAAUGUAGUCCAUCGUUUACUCACUCCUUUUUAUGGUCAUCAGCAUGUUGUGUACAUGGACAACUUUUACACGUCCGGUCCAUUGAUAGAAGAGUUGGCUAAGCAAAAUGUGUUUACUGUCGGCACAAUUUUGAAGAAUGCUGCUGGUUUCCCAGCAAGUCUUAAGGAUGUGGUACUCGACAAAGGUGACUAUACGUCCAUGACUGUUGGUGAUAUUUCUUACUCUAUGUUUAACGACCGUAGAGUUGUGUCCUUUGCAACAAAUGUGUUCCCUGACCAUAUGCCCCACACUGUAAUGCGAAUGCACAAAGACGGUACCCUACGCUCUCAGAGUGUCCCCCCCUGUCUCCCUGCAUAUAACAUGUACAUGGGAGGAGUUGACAAUACAGGGCGUAUGAGGAAAACCUAUGGGUACGAUAGAAAGUGUCGGCGGUAUUGGUUCAGGAUUUUCUUUCAAUUCCUUGACGUUAGUGUGAAUAAUGCAUACAUUCUAUACAGGCACAACUGUGUCAGGGUGGGUUCAAAGGCCAUGCCUUUGAAAGGGUUUCGAUUGGAACUAAUUCAUAGUCUAUUGGGUGUGCCACGUACUCGUAGCAGUGCCUCAGGUCUGGCCAGUCUAAAUAUCGUUUUCCCCCCAUCACAGGGCGCACGUGUGAGUGCAAAUAGUGUCGGAGUGUCUCGUGGGCGCUGUCAAGUGUGUGUUCGGGAGAAGAUCCCUAGCAGAGAGCAGCAACACACUGCAAUGGCAUGUCCCCACUGUCGCAUAAGAAUAUGCAAAGGACACUCUGUUAUCGGACACACAUGUGCUAGCUAAUGUGCUGUGUGACUGAUUUUUGUUAGAUGGUACUCUCCUGGUCUAAAUUGGCCUUGGAGAGGGGAGGAAAGGGGUAUUAUUUCAAUGAUUAAUAAAAUUGUGAUAAAGAAUUCAGUUGUAUAUGAGAGGCCCUAACCCACUCUGUUGUAAAUUCUGUUGUAAUUAUCUCUUUCCUUGGCAAUCUGUUGUAGAAAUUACAACAAUGGGUAAGGAAUCGUUAUGAUGAAUUAGAUGAAGUUGUAUGUGAGCUCCUCCCUGACAAACAAACUGUAGUCUAGGUAACCGCCUUAUCAGUCAAGUAGGCUAAAAAUCUGUGUCCUUUGAUGUAAGCUUUGAUGUCUCUUUGUGCAUAUGUAGUUAUAAAAAAAAAAAAAAAAAAAAAAAGAAA